UAGGGAAUCUUCGGCAAUGGACGAAAGUCUGACCGAGCAACGCCGCGUGAGUGAAGAAGGUUUUCGGAUCGUAAAACUCUGUUGUUAGAGAAGAACAAGGACAUUAGUAACUGAACGUCCCCUGACGGUAUCUAACCAGAAAGCCACGGCUAACUACGUGCCAGCAGCCGCGGUAAUACGUAGGUGGCAAGCGUUGUCCGGAUUUAUUGGGCGUAAAGCGAGCGCAGGCGGUUUCUUAAGUCUGAUGUGAAAGCCCCCGGCUCAACCGGGGAGGGUCAUUGGAAACUGGGAGACUUGAGUGCAGAAGAGGAGAGUGGAAUUCCAUGUGUAGCGGUGAAAUGCGUAGAUAUAUGGAGGAACACCAGUGGCGAAGGCGGCUCUCUGGUCUGUAACUGACGCUGAGGCUCGAAAGCGUGGGGAGCAAACAGG
rnacentral:rRNA from 1 species